rnacentral:rRNA from 1 species
UACACACCGCCCGUCACACCAUGGGAGUGGGUUUCACCAGAAGCCGGUUGCCUAACCGCAAGGAGGGCGCUGACCACGGUGAGGUUCAUGACUGGGGUG